rnacentral:rRNA from 11 species
UGGCCUGACCUGAAUAUCCUGAAGGCAAUAGAUCCCAUUUGAUCUUGGAAGCUAAACAGGGCCAGCCCUGGUUUAUACUGGAAAGGGAGACUGUCAAUGAACAACAUGGGAACUCGGCUCU